UACGAAGGGGGCGAGCGUUGUUCGGAAUUACUGGGCGUAAAGGGCGCGCAGGCGGCCCUUGAAGUCAGGCGUGAAAGCCCCGGGCUCAACCUGGGAGGUGCGCUUGAUACUCGAGGGCUUGAGUGCGGGAGAGGAGAGUGGAAUUCCCAGUGUAGAGGUGAAAUUCGUAGAUAUUAGGAGGAACAUCAAUGGCGAAGGCAGCUUGCUGGGACAUUACUGACGCUGAGCUACGAAAGCGUGGGGAGCAAACAGG
rnacentral:rRNA from 1 species